rnacentral:rRNA from 1 species
UACGAGGGGGGCGAGCGUUGUUCGGAAUUAUUGGGCGUAAAGGGCGCGUAGGCGGUUGGUUAAUUCUUGUGUGAAAUCUUCGGGCUCAACUCGAAGUCUGCACGAGAAACUAUCUGGCUUGAGUGUGGGAGAGGUGAGUGGAAUUCCUGGUGUAGCGGUGAAAUGCGUAGAUAUCAGGAGGAACACCUGUGGCGAAAGCGGCUCACUGGACCACAACUGACGCUGAGGCGCGAAAGCUAGGGGAGCAAACAGG